UUUUGGUGUGAUAUUUUGGGGGUGGCAGACAAGAAUGGGUGGGGUAAGUGGAAAGUUGAGACUUGAAUCCCAUCUACAUGAUUUGUAAACAGAAAAGGCAGCAAAAGCCAUAGAUCUAGUCCAAAAUUCUUCCUUGAGGUAUUUUAAUUAUACCAAGAAGAACUCAAGAUGCCACGUUUCUCUUUUUCUUUUCAGAAAUUAAUCCCCUUAUGCCAACGCUGGCUGACCGGCAGGAGGUGUCUCAAGUACAGACUGAGAAAGAUCCUGAAAUCCUGCCUGAUCUCUGUAGGAAAGAGUUUCACAAGCAUCAGGAAGUCAUCACUGCCAUGGGAAAAGGGGGUUGAUGAGGAAAUAUAUACUAAGUAUUUGCCAUUCCCGACUGACCCCAAACUCCUCGUGUAUCAGCAUUUCUUUGUCCUCCUCAGGACAAUGGGAAGAGCUAUUUGGUGGCUUCUAUGUGAUAAAGUUUUGAAUUCCUGUAAAGUAAAAUUGUUAUGAGUAUAUUAUUUCUGGACAUUCUAGCUAAUAAAAAAGGAGUUGGGGCAGAAUUUUUACCUUGUAUAUAAUAGGUCUUAUGUAUUUUACUCACAUGAUCUUUAGAGUACACGCUAAGUUACUAGAACAAGAUAGAAAAAACUAGCAAAACAAAUCCCAUCCUCUUCUCACAACCUCUUCUGAGAGAUACAGACCUGCUAGCAGGUAAGUCUCUGCUGAAGACAGGGAAAAUUAUGACAAGGAGCAGUUUCUCUGUAGCCAGGAAUGCCAAAUCCAUUUAUCCUAAUUGAGUUCUCCAUAGAAUCUACCUGAGACAAUGCUUUUCAUACCAAAGACCUCUCCCGGGGCAAGGCGACUGGUCCAUAUUGGCAUCACCAUGUCUCCUGAGAAACUUGGAAGGUUCCUGGUGUUGGGUGGGGCAAGGAGAAGAAAAUGAUGAGCUGUGGCUGCCUUCCAUCCUACCUCAUUGACGUGCUAAGCUCCCUUCUGCUGGGAGGUUUGACACCAAUGACGGGACAGGACCUAACAUCAGUACAAUUGCCUUUUCAGGACGCUCAGCCUCAGACAGAGAGCACCGGAAAGCUUUGGGCCCUGAGGAGACAUCCUCACUGUAUUUCAUAGGUUCACUAAUGGAUGUCUGCCCCUUCAAGAAGGCAAAGCUUUCAUCUAGAGUCCAAGUAAUUAAAGUCCCUUUUCAGAAACAGAAGGCUGAGGGGACCUCAUCAGAGACUUUCUCACUCCUAUUGACCUGGCUUUCUCUGCUGAACUUCACAUCAUAGGCUGUAAAAUCCACCUUCCCAAGAGACAGGCUGGGAUCUCCCAAAGGGCAUUUAGGAUUGAGUCCAACCUGCUGGUGGAGCCAACUUUAUUUUUACAUUUCUGAGAUGUGGGAGAAGACAUUUUGCUGGGCUCAACCCCCAAAACUCAGCCUCACAGCCUGAAAAGGUAGGGCCCUUCCAACCAUUCUCUCCAGAGUGGCCUUUGAUCCUCUAUAGACUGAGCAAAACAGCCAGGGCUCGAAGGUCCUCCCCGAGUCGGCCCAUUACCUCCCUCCGUCAGUCACCACGGAGCACCACAGAUGGGCUCCCCGGUUCCUCCCACUUCAAUGCAUUUGGCAAAUGGACAUGGAGGGUCAGGGCCACCAGAUGUUUUUCAAUGACCUGUGCACACGCAGUGAGGGAUUAAGAUCAAGUCACUGAUGAGUUUUCCUUGUGGACCUGGAGCCCCAGCAGAAGUGGUGACCACGGGCACCAAGAGCCUCUACCUUUGAGAUGGGAAUUUUCAAGGAGGCUGAGAGGCUUGACCUCCAAAGGGAAGGCCUGGUUGGAGCUCAGAAAUAUAAUACAAUAAAAACUCUGUCUGGAACAGGUUUACAUAGGAUCCCUUGGGUAACAGAAAAUUACAAGAAAUUCCAUCCGAGAGUUCAGCUGAGUAUCGCGACGCUGGUUUCUGCACAUCUGUAAGUCCUAUUAGUGCUUACGAGAUCGACUUGCCUGUGGAUUGAUUUGGAACUGUGGUUACACCGAAGGGGCCGUGAAGACAUGAGCGCUAACAUAUGGCUUCCUCCGCCCCCUGCUCAGAGUGCUCCUGGUGGGGAAUAAGAACAAGGGAAUUACGGGCUCCAGGGAACCCCCUGUCCUCAGUCAUCGCCACUGUCCCUGUGCGGGAGUGUAGCUGUGUGUCUCUCAGCCUCUGCUUAGUUUCCGUGAGUUUGUGGGUAGAGGUGUUGGCAGGCGGCUGCUGAGACCCAGAGCUGGAUUUCCUUCUCAGCGUGUGUGAGCUCCCCGAGACCCACGGCAGACAGAGGCACCACCAAAUCCUCACUAAGCUAAUAUAAAAGCUCAGAGAAAGAGAAGCGCUGCUUCCCUGACUGCCUUUCUUACAACAUAUGGCCUAUGGGCCUCACGAAUGCUAAUACGAUGAAAUUCUUAUUGAAAUAUCUUAGUGGAAGGCUCCACUGUGGCACUGGCACCACGGGGCUAUGCAUGUGCUUUUUUGCUGUUAGAUCUCUGCCUUUCCUUGCGUCCCACCUCUCCGCACACACAGACCUCACAAAUGGGCUGUGCCAGAUGGGCUCUUAAUCAUAGUGAUCAGCUGGGAAAUGAAAUGUUAGGCAAUCCAGCCAGUCUCCUGAAUUUUCCCACUUGAGAGCAGGGCUUGAACUUCGGCGAGCUCCUCCAGGAGACCCAGGCUGCCUCUUAUGGGAGGGUCAGUGUGAGGGACCCAGGGCAGGCUGCGUGCUUCGUGGGCAUUUCUGUUGUUUUUUUCUCAGGGAACUGAAGUUCAGUUUUGUUUGGGUUCUGAUGGCUGCUAGCAAUACCUCCUAUUUAUAGAGCACACACCUCAGAGGAGGUCAAAACAUUUACAGAAAUUAACCAAGCUUUGCAACAUCCCUGACAAGUAGGCUGGGACUAGACUCUGUUUUAGAGGAAGAAACUGAGCUAUUAAGAGGGCAUGUCUUUGCCACCCCAGGUAGACAGGAGCCCAUGGCCCACUCCUUUCCAGGGCUCUGCCAAAGCGAACAAAUGAGGUGGGUGUUUAUUUAUACACUGCUCACUAGCUUAUUAUUCUAGUAUUUUAUCCCCCCCCCAACCACUCACAUCAUGCUAUAAGAUCCCAGUGUGCAAAUAUCACGUCUUUUAUGAAAUCUCCCAAGUAUGCAUCAUGGGUUCCCCUCUAGUUGGUGACCAGUAUGUGUCACUGAUGGGUUUGCAAUAAACUGAUAGCCCUUUCUAGAGUGGCUUUCUCCCCCCAUGCCCAGAAGACUCCUAAAUUCUGCUCAAAGAUCGCUUCCCAGAUGACCCUGCACAGCUAGGUUUUAGGAGUCUUGUAGUACCCACCUCAGCCAGCACUUACCCCCUGGUACUGCAAUUAUUAAAAGGUGAAAUAGUGAAAAGAAAAUAACUUUGUAGUCUUUGAGACAG
rnacentral:lncRNA from 1 species